UAUCUCUUUCUUUCCAUCUCUAAUGCUUUGUGCAGCUCUUUCAUGUCCAUUGUUCCGCAGCUCUUGCCCAGUUCCAUUUGGUUCCUCUUUGGCGCAUUGUCACGUCAGUUUGCAACAGUCUAAUUCACAAUAGAUCAUUGUGCUUGCGUUUAAAACCAUUGAAGACUUAUGUGAAUGAGUCUCACUAUAUGGUCAUACAACUUUAAUAGCUAACAGUGGGGUAGAGAUAGAGAGAGAGAGAGAGGGAGAGAGAGUUUGAAAGGGGAGAGGAACAGCAGAGAGGGAGACA